rnacentral:rRNA from 1 species
UUCCGUAGGUGAACCUGCGGAAGGAUCAUUAGCGUGGGGCUCCGGCCCUGUCGUGAUAGAACCCUUGCCUUUUGAGUACCGUCCGUUUCCUCGGCAGGUUCGCCUGCCAAUGGGGACCCCCAAUAAACCCUUUUUAUGUACCUGUAUCAGUCUGACAAACAAACAAAAGUUAAAACUUUCAACAACGGAUCUCUUGGUUCUGGCAUCGAUGAAGAACGCAGCGAAAUGCGAUAAGUAGUGUGAAUUGCAGAAUUCAGUGAAUCAUCGAAUCUUUGAACGCACACUGCGCCCUUUGGUAUUCUUUAGGGCAUGCCUGUUCGAGCGUCAUUUGUAACCUCAAGCUCAGCUUGGUGUUGGGUGUCUGUCCCCGCCCCGCGCGGGGACUCGCCUCAAAAACAUUGGCGGCCGGUACGUUGGCUUCGAGCGCAGCAGAAACGCGAACUCGAGGCCCGACGGAUCGGCGACCAGAAGUCGCUUUCCACAGCUGACCU